ACGCUCGACACCUACGGAGGCAGCAGUGGGGAAUAUUGCACAAUGGGGGAAACCCUGAUGCAGCGACGCCGCGUGAGCGAAGAAGUAUCUCGGUAUGUAAAGCUCUAUCAGCAGGGAAGAAGAUGACGGUACCUGACUAAGAAGCACCGGCUAAAUACGUGCCAGCACGCCGAACGGUAAUCUGAGGCGGGCGUGGACGAAGGC
rnacentral:rRNA from 1 species